rnacentral:ncRNA from 1 species
AGAGAGGUUUCGUAAAACCUGGUGACUUUGGCCGUCCGGAGGAUGGUCCUAGCUGCUUCUGAAAUGAAGCGGGUCAGAAUGAAAUCGGAGCCCAGGGUGAGCCCUCA